CAGUAGCCGCGGUAAUACGUAGGGUGCGAGCGUUAAUCGGAAUUACUGGGCGUAAAGCGUGCGCAGGCGGUUCGUUAAGACAGAUGUGAAAUCCCCGGGCUUAACCUGGGAACUGCAUUUGUGACUGACGGGCUAGAGUAUGGCAGAGGGGGGUAGAAUUCCACGUGUAGCAGUGAAAUGCGUAGAGAUGUGGAGGAAUACCGAUGGCGAAGGCAGCCCCCUGGGCCAAUACUGACGCUCAUGCACGAAAGCGUGGGGAGCAAACAGGAUUAGAGACCCCAGUAGUCCCUGUCUCUUAUAC
rnacentral:rRNA from 1 species